rnacentral:sRNA from 1 species
CUAGAUGGUCAGACAAUGACUUUGUGAAGAGGCUGGCAGGCUUUGGCCUCCACUUUUGGAAAUAAACAAUUGUUGGGAAACAGUGAAGCAUCCAGCCCUCCUGCUGUGCUGCCUCAGGGCCCUUUGUGGCUGUGUGUGCUUGUCUGGCCUGUGCUUGUUGGAGAGGUGCCAUGCUCACGUCUGCCCUAAUUGAUAACAAACCGCAACAUAACGAGAGGUCCUUUAUGUUAUUCCACACAAGGGUGAAAAGGUGGAGGGGCUACAAGCUCAAGCCCUAUAUCCUUGGAGAGCCAAAAAAGACAACCACUUAAAUUUUAACAAAAAUGAUGUCAUCACCGUCCUGGAACAGCAAGACAUGUGGUGGUUUGGAGAAGUUCAAGGUCAGAAGGGUUGGUUCCCCAAGUCUUACGUGAAACUCAUUUCAGGGCCCAUAAGGAAGUCUACAAGCAUGGAUUCUGGUUCUUCAGAGAGUCCUGCUAGUCUAAAGCGAGUAGCCUCUCCAGCAGCCAAGCCGGUCGUUUCGGGAGAAGAAUUUAUUGCCAUGUACACUUACGAGAGUUCUGAGCAAGGAGAUUUAACCUUUCAGCAAGGGGAUGUGAUUUUGGUUACCAAGAAAGAUGGUGACUGGUGGACAGGAACAGUGGGCGACAAGGCCGGAGUCUUCCCUUCUAACUAUGUGAGGCUUAAAGAUUCAGAGGGCUCUGGAACUGCUGGGAAAACAGGGAGUUUAGGAAAAAAACCUGGUCCCUCCUAUAACAUGAAAUAAAAAGAAAGAAAUUUGCCCUGCCAUGAUUUGCACCUGAUA